UGUGUGUGGGACAUGACUGUGCCCGUGAUCCAGUCAUAAUGUCCAUUAGAGCACACAUGGCAUCCUGCCCAUUUCAAGUACACUGCUUAAACUGUGCUUCACACACCUGGGUGCUGCCCACAACAACUAACUAAGGAGGAGGAAAGAAGACCCAGAGAAGGUGGAAAUCUGCUACGUUACACUUUCCCUGUCUCCCUAGCAUUACUGACGCAGGAUGUGUGAGUAUUGACACAUUUUUCCACAGCUCCGUUUUAGAAUUUGCUUGAUUGAUGGUUCACGCUGGAGGGAUGACAAAGCAGUGCAGAAACCAGGCCAUGCUUUAAUUAUGAUAGAGGGGAGCAUCGAUCCUAUCUGAACACAAAGCAGAGGCAAACAGUCACGCACUCUUACAGACGAGCCUGCUCACAAAUGUCUCAUGGGCAUUCACAGAAAAACAUUUGCACAGCAUCACACACAUGUUAGGUACACACUUGAUCACUGUCUCAUUUGCUUGUGUGUGUUAUGCAGUAUCGUAUGCUUUCCCCUUAGUUCACGUCCUCACUGUACACGCUUGAAUUACCUCGGGGGUGCACAUGUGUGUGUGCAUAUGGCAGCUGCACCAUAUUCAUAGCCUCCUGCUCCAUUUGAAGCCUCUAAAAUAAGCAGAAUAAUUGUCUAAUCUUCCACAAGCAGGUGGUGCAUACAGAAAUAAAGCAAGUGAAGCCACAGCCUUAAGUCUGACUGACUAUGAACAUUGCAUUGUUUCCAUGUGUUUUCUGUUAAUGCUGCUUUUUCUUGGGGCUUUGGCCCCAGUGUUCAGUCCCAAAAUUACCACUGUGUAUGUCAUCUUUAUUCUAGUGUAAUGCAAGUGAACAACGCGACUUGUUUGUUGUCAGUAAUUCUCUUUCUAUUCCUCCUUUCUUUUCCAUGUUGCUGCCUCUAUUGCUGUAGCAAAAGCUCUUUUAAUCAAACCAAAAUUGAAUCCUCUUUCUCCAACCCCGACAAACUUUUCUCCAUCUUCUCUAACCUCCUAGAUUCCCCCAGUCCACCGCCUCCCUCCUUCCAUCCUACCAACCCACUUUGUCAACUACUUU